UACGUAGGGUGCGAGCGUUAAUCGGAAUUACUGGGCGUAAAGGGUGCGCAGGCGGUUAUAUAAGACAGAUGUGAAAUCCCCGGGCUCAACCUGGGAACUGCGUUUGUGACUGUAUGACUAGAGUACGGUAGAGAGGGGUGGAAUUCCUGGUGUAGCAGUGAAAUGCGUAGAUAUCAGGAGGAACAUCGAUGGCGAAGGCAGCCCCUUGGACCUGUACUGACGCUCAUGCACGAAAGCGUGGGGAGCAAAAGGG
rnacentral:rRNA from 1 species